GAUGAACGCUGGCGGCGUGCUUAACACAUGCAAGUCGAACGGAAAGGCCCAAGCUUGCUUGGGUACUCGAGUGGCGAACGGGUGAGUAACACGUGGGUGAUCUGCCCUGCACUUCGGGAUAAGCCUGGGAAACUGGGUCUAAUACCGGAUAGGACCACUUCUUGGAUGUUGUGGUGGAAAGUUUUUUCGGUGUUGGAUGAGCUCGCGGCCUAUCAGCUUGUUGGUGGGGUAAUGGCCUACCAAGGCGUCGACGGGUAGCCGGCCUGAGAGGGUGUACGGCCACAUUGGGACUGAGAUACGGCCCAGACUCCUACGGGAGGCAGCAGUGGGGAAUAUUGCACAAUGGGCGCAAGCCUGAUGCAGCGACGCCGCGUGGGGGAUGACGGCCUUCGGGUUGUAAACUCCUUUCGCUAGGGACGAAGCGUUUUGUGACGGUACCUGGAGAAGAAGCACCGGCUAACUACGUG
rnacentral:rRNA from 1 species